GCAGCAGCCGCGGUAAUGCGAAGGGGGCUAGCGUUGUUCGGAAUUACUGGGCGUAAAGGGCGCGUAGGCGGCCAUUCAAGUUAGAUGUGAAAGCCCUGGGCUCAACCUAGGAAUUGCAUUUGAUACUGUUUGGCUUGAGUUCGGGAGAGGUGAGUGGAAUUCCCAGUGUAGAGGUGAAAUUCGUAGAUAUUGGGAAGAACACCAGUGGCGAAGGCGGCUCACUGGACCGACACUGACGCUGAGGCGCGAAAGCGUGGGGAGCAAACAGGAUUAGAUACCCGCGUAGUCCCUGUCUCUUAUAC
rnacentral:rRNA from 1 species